rnacentral:rRNA from 1 species
AGUAACGGCGAGUGAACAGGGAAAAGCCCAAAUUUGUAAUCUGGCACUUUUUACAAGUGUCCGAGUUGUAAUUUGUAGAGCUGUUAUCCGUACUGGACCAUGUACAAGUCUGUUGAAAAGCAGCAUCAUUGAAGGUGAAAAUCCUGUAGAUGAUAUGGACUACCAGUAUAUUUGUGAUACGGUUUCUAAGAGUCGAGUUGUUUGGGAAUGCAGCUCAAAGUGGGUGGUAAAUUCCAUCUAAGGCUAAAUAUAAGUGAGAGACCGAUAGCAAACAAGUACCGUGAGGGAAAGAUGAAAAGAACUUUGAAAAUAGAGUUAACAGUACGUGAAAUUGCUGAAAGGGAAACGUUUGAAGUUAGUUUUGUAUUCGUUGGAUCAGCUUCGCAAGGAGUGUAUUCUGAUGAUAAGCAAGUCAACAUCAGUCUAUGAGUGUUGGAUAAGGGUUUUGAGAAUGUAGCAAUUUAAUUGUGUUAUAGCUUGAGACUUGGAUACAAUGCUUUGGAUUGAGGAACGCGUAGUAAGCUUUGAGCGGAUUCGAAAGGAUCUCCUUA